rnacentral:snoRNA from 1 species
UUUUUAUUCGAGGCUAAAAAAAAAUGUUUAUGCAAUGAUAAAACGAGUUAAGCAUUUUUUUUUUUUUAAGUUGCCGACUCACCUGACAUUGGAACAACCCA